rnacentral:rRNA from 1 species
AUUGAACGCUGGCGGCAGGCCUAACACAUGCAAGUCGAACGAGUGGCGGACGGGUGAGUAAUGUCUGGGAACCUGCCUGCUGGAGGGGGAUAACUACUGGAAACGGUAGCUAAUACCGCAUACCAUCCGAUGUGCCCAGAUGGGAUUGGCGAGUUGGUGGGGUAACGGCUCACAAAGGCGACGAGCCCUAGCUGGUCUGAGAGGAGGACAAGCCCCACUGGAACGGAGAGGUGGUCCAGACGCCGACGGGAGGCAGCAGGGGGCAAUAUUGGCCAGUGGGCGGAAGGCGGAUGCAGCCAUGCGGCGUGUAUGAAGGAGGGCUUCGGGUUGUAAAGGACGUUCAGCGGGGAGGCGGUACCCGCAGAAGAAGCUCCGGCGAACUCCGGGACAGCCGCCGCGGUAAUUC